rnacentral:rRNA from 1 species
GAUGAACGCUGGCGGCGUGCCUAAUACAUGCAAGUCGAGCGAACGGACGAGGAGCUUGCUUCUCUGACGUUAGCGGCGGACGGGUGAGUAACACGUGGAUAACCUACCUAUAAGACUGGGAUAACUUCGGGAAACCGGAGCUAAUACCGGAUAAUAUAUUGAACCGCAUGGUUCAACAGUGAAAGACGGUUUUGCUGUCACUUAUAGAUGGAUCCGCGCUGCAUUAGCUAGUUGGUAAGGUAACGGCUUACCAAGGCAACGAUGCGUAGCCGACCUGAGAGGAUGAUCGGCCACACUGGAACUGAGACACGGUCCAGACUCCUACGGGAGGCAGCAGUAGGGAAUCUUCCGCAAUGGGCGAAAGCCUGACGGAGCAACGCCGCGUGAGUGAUGAAGGUCUUCGGAUCGUAAAACUCUGUUAUUAGGGAAGAACAGAUGUGUAAGUAACUGUGCACGUCUUGACGGUACCUAAUCAGAAAGCCACGGCUAACUACGUG